rnacentral:rRNA from 1 species
GAUGAACGCUGGCGGCGUGCCUAAUACAUGCAAGUCGAGCGAACGGACGAGAAGCUUGCUUCUCUGAUGUUAGCGGCGGACGGGUGAGUAACACGUGGAUAACCUACCUAUAAGACUGGGAUAACUUCGGGAAACCGGAGCUAAUACCGGAUAAUAUUUUGAACCGCAUGGUUCAAAAGUGAAAGGCGGUCUUGCUGUCACUUAUAGAUGGAUCCGCGCUGCAUUAGCUAGUUGGUAAGGCAACGGCUUACCAAGGCAACGAUGCAUAGCCGACCUGAGAGGGUGAUCGGCCACACUGGAACUGAGACACGGUCCAGACUCCUACGGGAGGCAGCAGUAGGGAAUCUUCCGCAAUGGGCGAAAGCCUGACGGAGCAACGCCGCGUGAGUGAUGAAGGUCUUCGGAUCGUAAAACUCUGUUAUUAGGGAAGAACAUAUGUGUAAGUAACUGUGCACAUCUUGACGGUACCUAAUCAGAAAGCCACGGCUAACUACGUG